rnacentral:misc_RNA from 1 species
UAAAAUAAAAUAAAAUAAAAUAACUAUAAUGUUCCGCAUCAUUCAUUUCCACUUGAAAAAAGACGCAUCCUCGAGCUAGUUUCUAGAUACUCAAGUGCACAAUUAGGUAGGUAUGAGUAGAAAUUAGCCACAUUGAAUGCCUUAGAAAUGUUUCCCAUCCAAUACGGAAGAUCAACGGCAUCUGCAUUAUCAUUAAUCUUGUUAGUGAUAUUAAAUGGACCAUAUUUCCUUUGUUUAAGCUUAUGGUGUCCCCCAGCAAUCCUUGCUUUGCUCAUAAACACCAUGACUUCAUCUCUCACCUCAAAUACUUUGAAUCUUCUAUGUCUAUCCGCAGCUUCUUUGUACUUUGCAUUUGCUUUCUCAAGCCUUUUCUUCACAUCCUCUUGAACCGAUUGCACUUGUUCAACAAGAUUUCCAGCAGCUACACUCAAACUUGGAACCUUUGGAAGCUUUACCAAGUCUAAGGUAUGAUUAGAAACCUUAGUGUACACGAUAGAGAAUGGAGUCCUUUCCAUAGCACUAUGGAUAGCAUUGUUGUAAGCCAAUUCAACUUGUGUUAUGGCAAAAUCCCAUUGCUUUGGUCUAUCCUUACAAAUGCUCCUUAUCAAAUUUCCCAAUGUUCUAUUCACCACUUCCGCUUGACCAUCAGUUUGGGGAUGCGCCAUGCUACUAAACUUUAAUAAAGAAUCAAAUAAUCUCCACAAAGUGAUCCAAAGGUGACUCAAGAACUUGGUGUCACGAUUAGAUGUGAUAGUCUUUAGCACUUCAUGUAAGCGUGCAACCUCCCUAAAGAAUAGUUUGGCCGUAAAAGUUGCAUCUGCUGUCUUCUUGCAAGGUAAGAAAUGUGUCAUUUUAGAGAACCUGUUAACAAUAACAAAAACCCAAUCCAUACCUCAUUGAGUUCAUGGUAAACCCAACACGAAGUCCAUCGGUAGGUCCUCCCAUAUGGCAUUUGGCAAGGGCAAAGGCAUGUAAAGGCCUGUAUUUUGUGUUUGUCCUUUGCAUGUUUGACACACAUGACAUCUAGAAACAAUGUGAGUCAAAUCCCUCCUCAAUUUAGGCCAAUAGUAUCUACUUUUCACAGCUUCAAUGGUCUUAUCCCUUCCAAGAUGUCCUGCUAAGCCACCUCCAUGCAAAUCCCUAAUGACCUUCUCACGAAUAGAUGUACGAGGAAGACAAAGUUGUCCACCUUUCAUGAGAUAGCCAUGAUGCACAAAAUAAUCAUCAUGGGACUGAUUUAGAAUACAUUUCCCCCAUACUUUUUUAAAAUCUUCAUCAUCCACAUAUAAAUCUUUCAAAUGUUCAAAUCCUUCAAUGUCUACACUAAGGGUUUUAAUCAAGGAUACCUUUUGACUUAAAGUAUCGGCUACCACAUUUUGUUGCCCUGGUUUGUGAAUCAACUUGUAUGGGAACUUAUCCACAAAAGCUAACCACCUAGCAUGCACAUCAUCCCUAAUUUGUUUUUGGCUUCCUAAAAACUUCAAUGCUUGGUGAUCAGAAUAAAGUAUAAAUUCUUUUGCAAUUAAGUAGUGUUCCCAUGUCCUUAAAGCCCUUACAACAGCAUAAAAUUCUUUGUCAUAAGUAAACCAUUUUCUCCUAGGCUCACUCAAUUUCUCACGGAAGAAGGUAAUUGGUCUUUUUUCUUAGGAAAACACAGCACCAAUUCCCACACCACUAGCAUUACAUUCAACUUUAAAUAAUUUUUCAAAGUUAGGAAAAGCUAGCAUAGGUGUUGUACAUUGCUUCUAUUUAAUCAAGGCAAAACUCUUUU